rnacentral:snRNA from 1 species
GUGCUCGUUUCAGCAGCACAUAUACUAAAAUUGGGACGAUACAGAGAAGAUUAACAUGGCCCCUGCACAAGGAUGACACACAAAUUCGUGAAGCAUUCCAUAUUUUU